GACAAGGGGAAUCUUAUUGUUUAAUUAAAACAAAGCAUUGUGAUGGUCCUUGUGGAUGCUGACGCAAUGUGAUUUAUGCCCAGUGCUCUACAUGUCAAAGUGAAGAAAUCAACCAAGCACGGGUAAACAAUGGAGUAACUAUUACUCUCUUAAGGUAGUCAAAUGUCUUGUCAUCUAAUUAGUGACGUGCAUGAAUGGAUUGACAAGAUUCCC
rnacentral:ncRNA from 1 species